AUGGACGCACGGAUGAGGCUGAUAAUUCAAGCAGUAGCACUGAUAAGUGUGAUUUAGGCAUGGGUCAUGUUCAUGCACCAGAGAGUUGUUCAUCGUGCUGGGAGAUCUUUGAUCCGCUAUGGUCCAAUGUUUAUCCGGGAACAGGAGAGGAUCCAUAAUCUGAACUACAUCUACAACUGCAAUGAUGUCGAGGCUCUGUGGAUGCUUCGAAUGAAAAGAGCACCAUUUGCCAGGCUUGUCGAGACCUUCAGGAGCAGGGGGCUGCUACAAGAUAACAUCAACACCAGUGUGGAAGAGCAAGUGGCCAUGUUCCUCCAUGUUGUUGGCCAUAACCAGAGGUUCAGGGUCAUUCACAACACGUUGAGGAGAUCAAUGGAAACCAUCUCUAGGUACUUCAAGCAAGUGCUUUUUCCUGUUGGGGAGCUUAGAGGAGAGAUGAUCAGGAGACCAUCUGGCCAGAUUCCACCCAAGAUUCGCGGAAGCCCAAGAUGGUAUCCAUACUUCAAGGUGAGCAUUGACAAUAUAACACUUUUCAUGGCUUGA
rnacentral:rRNA from 1 species